rnacentral:rRNA from 1 species
UCGGGAAUUUUGGGCAAUGGGGGAAACCCUGACCCAGCAACGCCGCGUGAAGGAUGAAGUAUUUCGGUAUGUAAACUUCGAAAGAAUAGGAAGAAUAAAUGACGGUACUAUUUAUAAGGUCCGGCUAACUACGUGCCAGCAGCCGCGGUAAUACGUAGGGACCAAGCGUUGCUCGGAUUUACUGGGCGUAAAGGGCGCGUAGGCGGCAUGACAAGUCACUUGUGAAAUCUCUGGGCUUAACCCAGAACGGCCAAGUGAUACUGUCGCGCUAGAGUGCAGAAGGGGCAAUCGGAAUUCUUGGUGUAGCGGUGAAAUGCGUAGAUAUCAAGAGGAACACCUGAGGUGAAGACGGGUUGCUGGGCUGACACUGACGCUGAGGCGCGAAAGCCAGGGGAGCAAACGGGAUUAGAUACCCCCGUAGUCCCUGAGCGGGCUGGCAAGGCGCAU